AUUGAACGCUGGCGGCAGGCUUAACACAUACAAGUCGAGCGGGGUGAUGGUGCUUGCACUAUCACUUAGCGGCGGACGGGUGAGUAAUGCUUAGGAAUCUGCCUAUUAGUGGGGGACAACAUCUCGAAAGGGAUGCUAAUACCGCAUACGUCCGACGGGAGAAAGCAGGGGAUCACUUGUGACCUUGCGCUAAUAGGUGAGCCUAAGUCGGAUUAGCUAGUUGGUGGGGUAAAGGCCUACCAAGGCGACGAUCUGUAGCGGGUCUGAGGGGAUGAUCCGCCACACUGGGACUGAGACACGGCCCAGACUCCUACGGGAGGCAGCAGUGGGGAAUAUUGGACAAUGGGGGGAACCCUGAUCCAGCCAUGCCGCGUGUGUGAAGAAGGCCUUAUGGUUGUAAAGCACUUUAAGCGAGGAGGAGGCUCUUUUGGUUAAUACCCAAGAUGAGUGGACGUUACUCGCAGAAUAAGCACCGGCUAACUCUGUGCCAGCCGCCGCUGUAA
rnacentral:rRNA from 1 species